AGUAAGGUCAGCUAAUUAAGCUAUCGGGCCCAUACCCCAAAAAUGUUGGUUUAUAUCCUACCCGUACUA
rnacentral:tRNA from 1 species